AAAUUGAAGAGUUUGAUCAUGGCUCAGAUUGAACGCUGGCGGCAGGCCUAACACAUGCAAGUCGAACGGUAACAGGAAGAAGCUUGCUUCUUUGCUGACGAGUGGCGGACGGGUGAGUAAUGUCUGGGAAACUGCCUGAUGGAGGGGGAUAACUACUGGAAACGGUAGCUAAUACCGCAUAACGUCGCAAGACCAAAGAGGGGGAGCUUCGGGCCUCUUGCCAUCGGAUGUGCCCAGAUGGGAUUAGCUAGUAGGUGGGGUA
rnacentral:rRNA from 1 species